GACGAACGCUGGCGGCGUGCUUAACACAUGCAAGUCGAACGGAGUGGCGAACGGGUGAGUAACACGUGGGUGACCUGCCCUGCACUUCGGGAUAAGCCUGGUACACUGGGUCUAAUACCGGCUCGUGUGGUAUGGGGCCGCGGACUAUCAGCUUGUUGGUGGGGUAAUGGCCUACCAAAGCGUCGACGGGUAGACGGCCUGUGAGGGUGGACGGCCACAUUGGGGCUGAGACACGGGCCAGACUCCUACGGGAGGCAGGAGUGGGGAAUAUUGCACAAUGGGCGGAAGCAUGAUGCAGCGACUCCGCGUGGGUGAUGACUGCCUUCGGGUUGUAAACCGCUUUCAGCUAUGAAGCGGUAGUGGCAGAAGAAGCACCGGCUAACUACGUGCCAGCAGCCGCGGUAAUAC
rnacentral:rRNA from 1 species